rnacentral:lncRNA from 1 species
UAUAGACAAGAAAUGAGAGAGAACUGGGAUAGUCUAAGGCCACAUGGAGAUCUGUCUUGCACUAUGUUGACAGUUUAGAGGCCCCAGCUAGAGAGGAGUCAGGCCCUUUUCUUGUGGGGUCAAUUAAGUCUGAUCCUCAAUUACCUCCUUGUUUGUCUCUCAGACCCUUGGCCGCUAUUCAGUUGCCAUAUGUGCCUCGGAGCCAGAACCACAAAAAAGGUUUUCUCCUACUGCUGCCUUUAUCCCUCUGGCUCAACUCUGAUGCUGGUGCUCCCACGAGUGGCCCCCUGUGGCAUGGCAUGCUGUGUUCUCCCCAGGGAACUUUUAGGAGACAGGAUGUCUGAGGUCAGAAGUUCCCCCUGGUGACCGAACCAGUUAAGACUGAUGAGAUUCAAGAUCCAGCUCACUUGGCCUUUGAAGAACCUCUAACUUCAUUAUAAUUUAUUUUCCAUACUAAAUGACACUCCCACCAGUGCCAUGACAGUUUAUAAUCACCAUGACAAUGACCAGAAGAAAUUAUGAAAGGACAAAAAGGAAGACCACAACUCCGGUUCUGAGGAAUUCUCCACCCAUUCCCAGAAAAGACAAGAAUACUCCUCCCCUUGUUUUCAAUGCCCAAACCCUUCGUUAAAGAUGCCCCAUAUCUGUGACUUUCUGUCUCUCAUUAAUUGAGAAGUUAAUCUGUGAGUCAAGCUCCCACUUCUCAAGUCCAUGGCCAUUGAAUAAAGUCUGCACUGCUUGAUGCUCACUUUUGGUUUCAUGC